AUGGAAGAACCCCAAAUUCCGGAAGAUCGGGAUCCUCCUUUCCCAGAUCCCAAGGGAAGAACCCCAAAUUCCAGAAGAUCGGGAUCCUCGUUCCCAGAUCCCGAGGGAAGAAUCCCAAAUUCCAGAAGGUUGGGAUCCUCCUUUCCAGAUCCUGAGGGAAUUCCUGGGUACAAAUCCAAGAUCCCAGAGGAUCAGGAUCCUCCUUUCCCAGAUCCCGGUGGAAUUCCCGGGUACAAAGCCAAGAUCCCAGAAGAUCGGGAUCCUCCUUUCCCAGAUCCCGAUGGAAGAACCCCAAAUUCCAGAAGAUCGGGGCCCUCCUUUCCCAGAUCCCGAGGGAAUAACCUCAACUUCCAGAAGAUCAGGAUCCUCCUUUCCCAGAUCCCGAUGGAAUUCCCGGGUACAAAUCCAAGGUCCCGGAGGCCGCCGAAAUUCCACAAUCCUUUAUUUCCGUCUCCAGGAGCCGCGUCCCGCGGGCCGGGAACCCUUCCCGGGAUCCGGGAUCAGGAAGGGGCAGAAAUUCCUCCCGGGAAUCACCAGGAAAUUCCUCCCGGGAAUCACCAGGAAAUUCCCCCUGGAAUCACCAGGAAAUUCCUCCCUGGAAUCACCAGGAAAUUCCUCCCUGGAAUCACCAGGAAAUUCCUCCCGGGAAUCACCAGGAAAUUCCCCCACCCCACCCCGAGGCUUCUUUCCCAUGGAUAUUCCUGGAAUUCCAUGGAAUUUCACACACGUGCGGCGGAAGGAUCAGAAAUCCAUGGAUUUUCCUUCUCUGGAAUGGUGAUGGAACAUCCCCAAAGUCCCCAGUGCCACCUCCGGGAUGUCCCCCCGUGUCCCCUCCGUGUCCCCCCGUGUCCCCUGGGGGGGGACAGUCCCAUCCUGGAAGGGCGGGAACGGGAAAAGAGGGAAAAAGAGGGAAAAAGAGGGAAAAAGAGGGAAAAAGAGGGGAAAAAAAAGAGGGGAAAAGAGGGAAAAAGAGGGGAAAAGAGGGAAAAAGAGGGAAAAAGAGGGGAAAAGAGCGAAAAAAAAGAGGAAAAAAGAGGGAAAAAGAGGGAAAAAAGAAGGAAAAAGAGGGAAAAGAGGGAAAAAAAAGAGGGAAAAAGAGGAAAAAAGAGGGAAAAAGAGGGAAAAGAGGGAAAAAGAGGGGAAAAGAGGGAAAAGAGGGAAAAAGAGGGGAAAAGGGGGAAAAAGAGGGGAAAAGAGGGAAAAAUAGGAGAAAAGAGGGAAAAAGAGGGAAAAAGAGGGGAAAAGAGGGAAAAAGGGGAAAAGAGGGAAAAGAGGGGAAAAGAGGGAAAAAGAGGGAAAAAUAAAGAGGGAAAAAUAAAGAGGGAAAAAUAA
rnacentral:lncRNA from 1 species